UCAAAAAUGUGACUGCUGCGCAUGCUCAAGUCAUUACAUGUCGUCGGUAUGACAGGUUUUAUAACCUGAUAGUCGUCAAUUUAACUGUUAAUAUCUCCCUUCGCGAAGCAGAGCGACGCUUUUUAUUUACAGAUUCGUGUUCUACGCACAAAAAUACACGAUAUUGUUAAGUUUUAACCAAAUCGGUGAGGCAGCCCGUUUCCUUCAGUAUUGCCCAGAUUUCUUAACCUUGCUAAUCUAAUGAACUUUAACGUUUGACGUCAUAUGACCACAUAUCCCCGUGGGAGGUCGAGCACGUCUGGUUUUCGUCUUAGGACGUAAACUAACCUCCAAAAACCCCCUGAACUUUAACGAUUAAUAUUUCGUUUCUUGAGGCAGAACGACACUUUUUUCUGUCAGAUUCGUUCAUUUUGUAGAAAAACACGUCAAAUGACUAUAAUUUCAUCGAUUUUGGUCUGAAGGAGUUACACUGAAUAAUUAUAUUUAGGAAAACAUGAACAGUUGGAUAAAUACUGCUAAUGCGCUGCAAGAUUUUGCAAGCAUUCUAGUUUGCGAAAAAUGUGGAUCUAAACCAGAGUCUCCUGUAAGACUAAUAAAUUGCGGACAUUUCUUUUGUCACAAUUGCAUCAAGUCUGCAAUAAAAUGCGUUAAAUGUAAUGUACCAGUUCAGCCAAAGGAAAUAAAAUCUGAUCAUCUAAUAUCUAAUCUUGUACACAAUUCCGAUAUUAUUGCAGAUAUUAUUCAUAAAAGAGAUCUAUGGAGCAAUGUUACAGAUGCACUCAACACUUCAAUGGACAAUACAACAUCUUCGGUAAUUCAUACACCAAAGAAACAGAGUUACGUACGUACAAAGAAUUUAAAUAAGCCAAAUUUCAAAGGAGAAACACCGUUACAUGUUGCAUGCGUGAAGAAAAAUACUGAACUAGUUAAACAUCUCUUAUUAGUUGGUGCAAAUCCUAAUACAAAAGACAACGCUGGUUGGACGCCAUUGCAAGAAGUGGUCAAUUAUGGAUGUACCGAAAUAUGUGAAAUAUUAUUGAAUUGUGGCGCAUUACCCAAUAUAUCAGGUUAUAAAAACCGAAGACCACUGCACGAAGCUGUUAAGCUUAACAGAAUUGAGGAAACUAAGUUGUUAUUGCGUUAUAAUGCUGAUAGAGACCAAUGCGAUCAAUAUGGCAAAAAGCCUAUAGAUUACUGCAGAUCCGACGAGAUGCGGCAUCUUCUAAUGGAUUUACCAAAGUCUCCAUCUGAAAAGCAAAACAUAAAUUCAAAAUUUUGACAACAUAUAGACCAUCUGUUACACACGUCAUAGUGGAAGCAAAUGAACAAAAUAUUACUAAAUUGACACUUGAUGUAUUGUUUUCAAUUAUCUAUGGAAGCUGGCUUCUCAAUAGUGAAUGGAUUCAAUUGGCAGCAGA